UCAGUGGCCUUGUGCAGAUCCAGUGGGCAGCCCACGCAGCAGGGCCACGUAGAAACGCAGCACCCGGGGCCGGAGGUCCGGGUCCAGAAGCGCUACAGUGCACCCUUACUGUGCAUUUCCCAUCGCCCAUGGACGCGGAGGUCGCCCACCAGUUGCUGAGUGUAUAUUUUCUAGUCCCAGAGCCCAUUCAGAAGGAGCUCAUUGUGGAGGGCCGCGUCCUGGUCAUCCGAUUCACUGCUGAAGACUUUGGCCAACUCCGAAGUUCCAUCAUGUCCUGUGUGAACCAGCUUUCUUGGGUGGUUCACAUCUUGCAGUACAUUUUUACCCAGUUUUUCGUUUAGCGUCAGCAGGCCCCAGGGCGCUAACCCUAACUUAUGUGCUGUGUCCUUGGCGUCCUUCCCUAGGGCCUUGCUUUCUUCAGUGGUCACCACUUGUUGCGGCCUCGUGUUUUGCCUGUACUGGCCCUUGGGCGCUCAGGGUCCACGUAUUUUGUUUGCUGAUUAAAUGUUAACUGCAGAAAAUACAACUGACCUGCUGUUCUGUGUCUGAGUUUAGUUUUAGCUUCUGCACCUCCUAAUAUUCUUGCAUUUGUGCUCAGGUUGGAGGGGAGGUCUGGGAUUCAGCUAUUCAAGUAGCGCACCUAAUUGAAGACAAUGUCAGAAGUGGAACAAAAAGAAAAUUGUG